rnacentral:rRNA from 1 species
AUUGAACGCUGGCGGCAUGCCUAACACAUGCAAGUCGAACGGUAACGCGGAGAGCUUGCUCUCUGGCGACGAGUGGCGGACGGGUGAGUAAUACUUAGGAAUCUACCCAGUAGUGGGGGACAACAUUCGGAAACGGAUGCUAAUACCGCAUACGCACUACGGUGGAAAGUGGGGGACCUUCGGGCCUCACGCUAUUGGAUGAGCCUAAGUCGGAUUAGCUUGUUGGUGAGGUAAUAGCUCACCAAGGCGACGAUCCGUAGCUGGUCUGAGAGGACGAUCAGCCACACUGGGACUGAGACACGGCCCAGACUCCUACGGGAGGCAGCAGUGGGGAAUAUUGGACAAUGGGCGCAAGCCUGAUCCAGCAAUGCCGCGUGUGUGAAGAAGGCCUGCGGGUUGUAAAGCGCUUUCACCGGUGAAGAUGAUGACGGUAGCCGGAGAAGAAGCCCCGGCUAACUCCGUG